AAGAAAAAAAUAUUGACCAUUAUACUAAAACAUCUAAAGAGAAUGUUGUAGAAGACGACUUUAGAAGACUUAAACCUUUAAUCUACAUACAGUUUAUGUAUUUAAGAUGCUGGAGGUAUACCCAAGAUGUAAAAAUGUUCGGUGAUGUGCUUGUAGUUCUCAACCCUAGCUACACUUUAGACUCAACUCGGCGAACAUUUACAGGUGUCCACAUCAAUUAAAUCAGAAUCUUCUGGAAGUAGGGCCUUGGCAUGGAUAUGUUCAAAAGCUCUCCCAGGUGAUCCUAAUGUACUGUCAGGACCAACAACCUCAGUCUGCUUCAAUGAUCUUUCUUCCUCUGUAUUAAAUGAAAGAUGGAGCAUAUGAAAUAUUUAAGCUUCUUUCUUCAGAAGAGGUCCUCAAAAAAGAACAAUGUCAAAGUAGAAAUUCAAUAGCUGGAAACUAAGUUUUAAAUCAGAGGCAAACUCAAAUACUCACAGGAGCCAGAAAAUGAAAAUCUGAUUUUAAAUGAUGAUUUAAAGAUAUAUACUGUGCAGACCAAAGAAAACACGCCGCAUAACCUCAGACCCUAUCUGGGCUCUGGGCCUCUGUUUUACACAGCUGUCUUUAGGUCAAGUAGUCAGCUUUUUCCUAAGACUAUUAGAGCUUAAAACAAACCUGAAACAAACCCUGUUCCUACUUAUAGUAAAUUGGAAGAAAAAAAGGGAACAAGAAUCUGUAAAACUCAUGGGAUUCUUUUGAAGAAAGAUUCUAACGGUUAUCUACAGAAAUAAUCAUAGGUUUCUGUUCCUCUACUAGUGCAUCAUGUGGAAGCAACAACACAGAUUUCCCCCAAAUGUAGAGGCAGUCUGCUUAAAGCGGGACAGCGCUAGGAGAGACAAUUAUCCUCCACAGCAGCAGAAACUGAUGUUGGAUGACAGGCCGUGAGAUCACUGACUGGAAAACACGCCGUCCCUACGCUUUAAGACUCUGGAUUGAGAAAACCUGAGGCCAAGGGUCAACCUCUUCGAAUUGUAGAUGCUGAUUUGCUGCUCUUCUCAGGCAACCCUACAUAGAGUGCCCCACUUAGGAAUUUCUGUAUUUUACAAUGGCGAACUAAUUCUCAAUAAAGAGCGUGGGGACAGCUGGUUCA